rnacentral:rRNA from 1 species
UACGGGGGGGGCAAGCGUUGUUCGGAAUUACUGGGCGUAAAGGGCUCGUAGGCGGCCAACUAAGUCGGAUGUGAAAUCCCCAGGCUCAACCUGGGAACUGCAUCCGAUACUGGAUGGCUUGAAUCCGGGAGAGGGAUGCAGAAUUCCAGGUGUAGCGGUGAAAUGCGUAGAUAUCUGGAGGAAUACCGGUGGCGAAGGCGGCAUCCUGGACCAUAACUGACGCUGAGGCGCGAAAGCUAGGGGAGCAAACGGG